GACGAACGCUGGCGGCGUGCUUAACACAUGCAAGUCGAACGGAAAGGCCCCUUUGGGGGUGCUCGAGUGGCGAACGGGUGAGUAACACGUGAGUAACCUGCCCUUGACUUCGGGAUAACUUCAGGAAACUGGGGCUAAUACCGGAUAGGAAUCCUUGCUGCAUGGUGGGGGUUGGAAAGCUUCGGCGGUUUUGGAUGGACUCGCGGCUUAUCAGCUUGUUGGUGGGGUAGUGGCUUACCAAGGCUUUGACGGGUAGCCGGCCUGGGAGGGCGACCGGCCACAAUGGGACUGAGAUACGGCCCAGACUCCUACGGGAGGGAGCAGUGGGGAAUAUUGCACAAUGGGCGGAAGCCUGAUGCAGCAACGCCGCGGGCGGGAUGACGGCCUUCGGGUUGUAAACCGCUUUCAGCAGGGGCGAAGCUUGUGGUGACGGUACCUGCAGAAGAAGCACCGGCUAACUACGUG
rnacentral:rRNA from 1 species